AACGAACGCUGGCGGCAUGCCUAACACAAGCAAGUCGAACGAGAUCUUCGGGUCUAGUGGCGCACGGGUGCGUAACGCGUGGGGAUCUGCCCUUUGGUUCGGAAUAACAGUUGGAAACGACUGCUAAUACCGGAUGAUGACGAAAGUCCAAAGAUUUAUCGCCAGAGGAUGAGCCCGCGUAGGAUUAGCUAGUUGGUGUGGUAAAGGCGCACCAAGGCGACGAUCCUUAGCUGGUCUGAGAGGAUGAUCAGCCACACUGGGACUGAGACACGGCCCAGGCUCCUACGGGAGGCAGCAGUGGGGAAUAUUGGACAAUGGGCGAAAGCCUGAUCCAGCAAUGCCGCGUGAGUGAUGAAGGCCUUAGGGUUGUAAAGCUCUUUUACCCGGGAUGAUAAUGACAGUACCGGGAGAAUAAGCUCCGGCUAACUCCGUGCCAGCCGCCGCCGUAA
rnacentral:rRNA from 1 species